rnacentral:rRNA from 1 species
UGGGGAAUCUUCCGCAAUGGGCGCAAGCCUGACGGAGCAACGCCGCGUGAGUGAAGAAGGGUUUCGACUCGUAAAGCUCUGUUGUCGGGGACGAAUGUGGAGGUUGUGAAUAACAGCUUCCAAUGACGGUACCUGACGAGGAAGCCACGGCUAACUACGUGCCAGCAGCCGCGGUAAUACGUAGGUGGCGAGCGUUGUCCGGAAUUAUUGGGCGUAAAGGGAGCGCAGGCGGGAGGUCAAGUCUAUCUUAAAAGUGCGGGGCUCAACCCCGUGAGGGGAUGGAAACUGGUCUUCUUGAGUGCAGGAGAGGAAAGCGGAAUUCCUAGUGUAGCGGUGAAAUGCGUAGAUAUUAGGAGGAACACCAGUGGCGAAGGCGGCUUUCUGGACUGUAACUGACGCU